CUAUCUAUUGUGUGUUACUUAUUUUUUGUUUCGUCUUCUACUCUUAUGUUUGUUAAUUGAGACUUUGUAAUGAUCUGUUUGCGAAGAAAGAUAAAAAAAAAGUGUUAGCUGUUUUAGCUUUUUGGGCCAUUUUGCAUUGCCUCUUUGUUAACUUACAUUAGCGAAACAUUGGCCAUAGUUAAAAUGAAAUUUUUUUAAGGUGUCUAACCAAUUUUUCCCCUAUCCCUCAGGUGCUGUGAGGUAUUUGUGAAAUUGUGAACGUUCAGCCAGGUGCUGUGAGGUGUGUCUUCUUUGAAAUUGUGAACUUAUUCAUCUUUCCUUGGCUGCGAUGGCUCUGAGAAUGAGACGAUGGCGAAAACGGAAAAGAGAACUCGAUCUACUUCUACGUUAUUCUGACAGUGAUGAACACCAGGGCACUGAAAAUAAUAGUGACAGUGUGCCUGGG